UACGAAGGGUGCAAGCGUUACUCGGAAUUACUGGGCGUAAAGGGUGCGUAGGUGGUUUUUUAAGUCCGUUGUUAAAUCCCUGGGCUCAACCUGGGAAUGGCAGUGGAUACUGGAAAGCUAGAGUGCGGUAGAGGGUAGUGGAAUUCCCGGUGUAGCAGUGAAAUGCGUAGAGAUCGGGAGGAACACCAGUGGCGAAGGCGGCUACCUGGACCAGCACUGACACUGAGGCACGAAAGCGUGGGGAGCAAACAGG
rnacentral:rRNA from 1 species